rnacentral:rRNA from 1 species
UAAUUUAAAGUCUGGCCUGCCCAAUGAUAAUUUUAAUGGCCGCAGUAUUUUGACUGUGCAAAGGUAGCAUAAUCAUUAGUUUCUUAAUUAGAAACUAGAAUGAAAGGUUGAACGAGAAAAUAACUGUCUCUCUAUAAUUUUUUUUAGAAUUUUAUUUUUAAGUUAAAAAGCUUAAAUAAGUUUGAAAGACGAGAAGACCCUAUAGAGUUUUAUAUUUUAUUAAUAAAAUUUUAAAAAUAGAAUUAUAUUUAUUUUAUUAAAAAAAAUAUUUAAUUGGGGUGAUUGAAAAAUUUAGUUAACUUUUUUUUUAUUUUAACAUAUAUAAAUGAUUAAAUGAUCCAUUAGUAAUGAUUAUAAGAUUAAAUUACCUUAGGGAUAACAGCGUAAUUUUUUUUAAGAGUUCUUAUCGAUAAAAAAGUUUGCGACCUCGAUGUUGGAUUAAAAUUAAUUUUUGGUGUAGAAGCUAAAAUAUUAGGUCUGUUCGACCUUUAAAAUUUU